GACGAACGCUGGCGGCGUGCCUAAUACAUGCAAGUAGAACGCUGAAGAGAGGAGCUUCCUCUUCUUGGAUGAGUUGCGAACGGGUGAGUAACGCGUAGGUAACCUGCCUUGUAGCGGGGGAUAACUAUUGGAAACGAUAGCUAAUACCGCAUAACAAUGGAUGACACAUGUCCUUUAUUUGAAAGGGGCAAUUUCUCCACUACAAGAUGGACCUGCGUUGUAUUAGCUAGUAGGUGAGGUAAUGGCUCACCUAGGCGACGAUACAUAGCCGACCUGAGAGGGUGAUCGGCCACACUGGGCAUGAGACACGGCCCAGACUCCUACGGGAGGCAGAAGUAGGGAAUCUUCGGCAAUGGGGGCAAUCCUGACCGGGCAACGCCGCGUGAGUGAAGAAGGUUUUCGGAUCGUAAAGCUCUGUUGUAAGUCAAGAACGGGUGUGAGAGUGGAAAGUUCACACUGUGACGGUAGCUUACCAGAAAGGGACGGCUAACUACGUG
rnacentral:rRNA from 1 species